AUUGAACGCUGGCGGCAGGCCUAACACAUGCAAGUCGAGCGGAUGAAGGGAGCUUGCUCCUGGAUUCAGCGGCGGACAGGUGAGUAAUGCCUAGGAAUCUGCCUGGUAGUGGGGGAUAACGUCCGGAAACGGGCGCUAAUACCGCAUACGUCCUGAGGGAGAAAGUGGGGGAUCUUCGGACCUCACGCUAUCAGAUGAGCCUAGGUCGGAUUAGCUAGUUGGUGGGGUAAAGGCCUACCAAGGUGACGAUCCGUAACUGGUCUGAGAGGAUGAUCAGUCACACUGGAACUGAGACACGGUCCAGACUCCUACGGGAGGCAGCAGUGGGGAAUAUUGGACAAUGGGCGAAAGCCUGAUCCAGCCAUGCCGCGUGUGUGAAGAAGGUCUUCGGAUUGUAAAGCACUUUAAGUUGGGAGGAAGGGCAGUAAGUUAAUACCUUGCUGUUUUGACGUUACCAACAGAAUAAGCACCGGCUAACUUCGUG
rnacentral:rRNA from 1 species